GCUGGGUGAGGUGGCACACGCCUGUGAUCUCAGCAGCCUGGGAGGCUGAGGCAGGAGGAUCAGGAGUUCAAAGCCAGCCUCAGCAACUUAGCGAGGACCUAAGCAACUUUGGGAGACCCUGUCUCUA
rnacentral:sRNA from 1 species